rnacentral:snRNA from 1 species
AUCGCUUCUCGGCCUUUGGGCUAAGAUCAAGUGUAGGAUCUGUUCUUAUCAGCUUAAUACCUGAUACAUCCUCCAUCAGAGGACUUUUGUUUUGGGUUAGGAACUGGCU